UGCAAGUCGAGCGGACAGAAGGGAGCUUGCUCCCGGAUGUUAGCGGCGGACGGGUGAGUAACACGUGGGUAACCUGCCUGUAAGACUGGGAUAACUCCGGGAAACCGGAGCUAAUACCGGAUAGUUCCUUGAACCGCAUGGUUCAAGGAUGAAAGACGGUUUCGGCUGUCACUUACAGAUGGACCCGCGGCGCAUUAGCUAGUUGGUGAGGUAACGGCUCACCAAGGCGACGAUGCGUAGCCGACCUGAGAGGGUGAUCGGCCACACUGGGACUGAGACACGGCCCAGACUCCUACGGGAGGCAGCAGUAGGGAAUCUUCCGCAAUGGACGAAAGUCUGACGGAGCAACGCCGCGUGAGUGAUGAAGGUUUUCGGAUCGUAAAGCUCUGUUGUUAGGGAAGAACAAGUGCAAGAGUAACUGCUUGCACCUUGACGGUACCUAACCAGAAAGCCACGGCUAACUACGUGCCAGCAGCCGCGGUAAUACGUAGGUGGCAAGCGUUGUCCGGAAUUAUUGGGCGUAAAGGGCUCGCAGGCGGUUUCUUAAGUCUGAUGUGAAAGCCCCCGGCUCAACCGGGGAGGGUCAUUGGAAACUGGGAAACUUGAGUGCAGAAGAGGAGAGUGGAAUUCCACGUGUAGCGGUGAAAUGCGUAGAGAUGUGGAGGAACACCAGUGGCGAAGGCGACUCUCUGGUCUGUAACUGACGCUGAGGAGCGAAAGCGUGGGGAGCGAACAGGAUUAGAUACCCUGGUAGUCCACGCCGUAAACGAUGAGUGCUAAGUGUUAGGGGGUUUCCGCCCCUUAGUGCUGCAGCUAACGCAUUAAGCACUCCGCCUGGGGAGUACGGUCGCAAGACUGAAACUCAAAGGAAUUGACGGGGGCCCGCACAAG
rnacentral:rRNA from 1 species